rnacentral:rRNA from 1 species
CCUACGGGGGGCAGCAGUGAGGAAUAUUGCUCAAUGGGGGAAACCCUGAAGCAGUAACGCCGCGUGGAGGAUGAAGGUUUUAGGAUUGUAAACUCCUUUUGUGAGAGAAGAUAAUGACGGUAUCUCACGAAUAAGCACCUGCUAACUCCGUGCCAGCAGCCGCGGGAAUACGGAGGGUGCAAGCGUUAAUCGGAAUCAAUGGGCGGAAAGAGUGCGCAGGCGGGAUGGUAAGUCAGAUGGGAAAUCCUGUAGCUUAACUAAAGAACUGCAUUUGAAACUAUGAGUCUAGAGUGUGGGAGAGGUAGGUGGAAUUCUUGGUGUAGGGAUAAAAUCCGUAGAUAUCAAGAGGAAUACUCAUUGCGAAGGCGACCUACUGGAACAUUACUGACGCUCAUGCACGAAAGCGUGGGGAGCAAACAGGAUUAGAUACCCGUGUAGUC